CCUGGCACCUGUUGUGCGUGUAUUUGUUGCUGCAAUUGGAAAGCCGCAGGCAGUUAGUUAGUUGAACAAAUGCUGAUCUGUGCGCGUGUGUGCAGACAACACCAACAACAUCGAAAAGUAGAAAAACAAGCGGCGGCUUAGAACUGACGCAAUAUUAACAUCAAAACUAAUAAUAAAAUGAAAGGCACCUUCUGGAGAGGCGAGCCAGAAAUAAUGCAACAAGCAAACAACCAACAAACGAACGAACGCAAACGGCAAAUAAACAAAAUAAUAAAAACUUACUAAAAGUUGAUGUAUUCCAUGUUGCUGCUGAUGCUGCUAUAGGCACACGCAUAUUGUACGCACACACACAUCGUUUUCAAAAUUAUGUCAAAGGCAUUUUGUAUUGAUCGUAGUUUGUUUCAAUAUUAUACAAAAAAAAUAUAAAAAAUAACAAGUUGGUCAAAUAAGUCGCAAAACUAUAAAAUUGUUGUGUAGUACACUUUUCGUUAAGUGAAUCACGGUAGUUGGUAAAAAGCGCCGUACUAAAAAGCCUAUUUUGUUCAAAGUAUGAAUGUUUCUAGAAUUUUCAGUAUAUUAUAUUCACAUCUGAAGAUUGUCGCUCAAAAUUGUAAAUUGUUCCGCGAAUAUGAAAAACACAUACAAAAAUCUUAAAAUAAAUUAAAGGUCAUCGAUCAAAUAACAGAAGGAAAACAAAAAUCUUAGCCCCAAAUGGAGGUCAAAUCAAUACUGGAUUCAGGAUUCACUCGCAAAUUGCGAAUCGGGCAUAAAUGGAAAUAGUCCUCUUAAUGAAAUAGAGUCCGAGAAAAUAAUUUUAUGAUAUUAAGUCUAAUCUACUGUACACAUUUCCAUGUAUGAUAAAUAUUAAUAGAUGUUUGAAAAAUUUUCUAUUUUGGAUAAUACAAAUUUUAAUUUGAUAUUUUCGACUGCUUCAAAAUUA